rnacentral:tmRNA from 1 species
GGGGGCGAUCGGUUUCGACGGAAUAUGCGUCGCGUUAAAUUGCAUGCCGAGGUCCAGGAUCUCGUUAAUCACCUGGAAAAACCAUAAAUGCCGAUUACGGCUACAUGGCCGCUGCUUAAUUAAGCUGGCCCGUCCUGGAUUUGGUGUGUCUGUGGCUAGACCCAAGGGCGUCAAUUACAUAGACUGGUCCUGAUUGUUGUCUGUGAUUUCAGGAUAAGACCUUAACAGACUUUGCUUACGAUGGCCGAGUCAGCAGGGCAGUUGUAAGUAAGCCUAAACUGACUGACUAAGCAUGUAGGUAUUUUUCGGGGUUCUAUUUCGGACGGGAGUUCAAUUCUCCCCGCCUCCACAA